UACGUAGGGCGCAAGCGUUGUCCGGAAUUAUUGGGCGUAAAGAGCUCGUAGGCGGCCUGUUGCGUCCGCUGUGAAAUCCCGGGGCUCAACCCCGGGCGUGCAGUGGAUACGGGCUGGCUGGAGGCAGGCAGGGGAGAACGGAAUUCCUGGUGUAGCGGUGAAAUGCGCAGAUAUCAGGAGGAACACCGGUGGCGAAGGCGGCACUCUGGGCCUGUACUGACGCUGAGACGCGAAAGCGCGGGGAGCGAACGGG
rnacentral:rRNA from 1 species